rnacentral:ncRNA from 15 species
GCUUAGGUAGCUCAGCAUGGUUAGAGCAAAGGACUGAAAAUCCUUGUGUCAGUGGUUCGAAUCCACUUCUAAGCG